rnacentral:rRNA from 1 species
AGUGAACGCUGGCGGUAGGCCUAACACAUGCAAGUCGAACGGCAGCACAGUAAGAGCUUGCUCUUACGGGUGGCGAGUGGCGGACGGGUGAGGAAUACAUCGGAAUCUACUUUUUCGUGGGGGAUAACGUAGGGAAACUUACGCUAAUACCGCAUACGACCUACGGGUGAAAGAAGGGGAUCUUCGGACCUUGCGCGAUUGAAUGAGCCGAUGUCGGAUUAGCUAGUUGGCGGGGUAAAGGCCCACCAAGGCGACGAUCCGUAGCUGGUCUGAGAGGAUGAUCGGCCACACUGGAACUGAGACACGGUCCAGACUCCUACGGGAGGCAGCAGUGGGGAAUAUUGGACAAUGGGCGCAAGCCUGAUCCAGCCAUACCGCGUGGGUGACGAAGGCCUUCGGGUUGUAAAGCCCUUUUGUUGGGAAAGAAAAGCAGCAGGUUAAUACCCCGCUGUUCUGACGGUACCCAAAGAAUAAGCACCGGCUAACUUCGUG